rnacentral:rRNA from 1 species
UACGGGGGGGGCAAGCGUUGUUCGGAAUUACUGGGCGUAAAGGGCUCGUAGGUGGCCAACUAAGUCAGACGUGAAAUCCCUCGGCUUAACCGGGGAACUGCGUCUGAUACUGGAUGGCUUGAGGUUGGGAGAGGGAUGCGGAAUUCCAGGUGUAGCGGUGAAAUGCGUAGAUAUCUGGAGGAACACCGGUGGCGAAGGCGGCAUCCUGGACCAAUUCUGACACUGAGGAGCGAAAGCCAGGGGAGCAAACGGGG